GGCAACAAAAGGAAGAGAGGUACAAGAAAGUUUGCAUACUUGGUUUCGGUGAAAGAUAGUCCACAACAACGCCCAACAUCUGUUGAUUGUGGAAUUAUUGUAUGUUAUAUCAUGUGCCAAAUCAUAAGAGAUGAGCCUAUUGCAAAUUCUAUGGAAGAGGAUGAAAUUAACAAUUUCCGAGCGUCAAUAGUGCAUCAAUUUUUGAGUGAUUAUCCAAAAGCAUGGACUGAGGAACAGUUCAACCUCAAAAAAAAAAAAUGGGCAAGAGCUAAGACCUCAAGGAUGAUAAUGUGGACAAGUUCUGGGGAACUACUGUGAAUGAUUUUUGUAAUUUCGGUUUUUGUAAAUGAAAGAACGGUGAAAAAGUAAUUGUAAGUGAAAGAAUACUAAAAGAGUAUUAGAUAGUAGAUGCUAUGUCUAUUGUUCUAGUAAAUUUUACUAUAGUUUGGUGAUUAUUAUACAAGGAUAUUUUGUUUUGACUGG